ACUGCUCAGUAACACGUGGACAACCUGCCCUUAGGUUGGGUAUAAACCCGGGAAACUGGGUAUAAUACCCGAUAGGUCUCGAUUGCUGGAAUGCAUCGAGAUUUAAAGCUCCGGCGCCUAAGGAUGGGUCUGCGGCCUAUCAGGUAGUAGUGGGUGUAGCGUACCUACUAGCCUACGACGGGUACGGGUCGUGAGAGCAAGAGCCCGGAGAUGGAUUCUGAGACACGAAUCCAGGCCCUACGGGGUGCAGCAGGCGCGAAAACUUUACAAUGCUGGCAACAGCGAUAAGGGAACCUCGAGUGCCAGGUUACAAAUCUGGCUGUCGAGAUGCCUAAAAAGCAUUUCAUAGUAAGGGCCGGGCAAGACCGGUGCCAGCCGCCGCGGUAACACCGGCGGCUCGAGUGGUAACCGUUAUUAUUGGGUCUAAAGGGUCUGUAGCCGGCCGGAUAAGUCUCUUGAGAAAUCUGGCAGCUUAACUGUCAGGCUUUCAGGAGAUACUGUCUGGCUCGAGGCCGGGAGAGGUGAGAGGUACUUCAGGGGUAGGGGUGAAAUCUUGUAAUCCUUGAAGGACCACCAGUGGCGAAGGCGUCUCACCAGAACGGACCUGACGGCAAGGGACGAAAGCUAGGGGCACGAACCGGAUUAGAUACCCGGGUAGUCCUAGCCGUAAACGAUACUCGCUAGGUGUCGGCCACGGUGCGACCGUUGUCGGUGCCGUAGGGAAGCCGUGAAGCGAGCCACCUGGGAAGUACGGCCGCAAGGCUGAAACUUAAAGGAAUUGGCGGGGGAGCAC
rnacentral:rRNA from 1 species